UACGUAGGUGGCAAGCGUUGUCCGGAUUUAUUGGGCGUAAAGCGAGCGCAGGCGGAAAGAUAAGUCUGAUGUGAAAGCCCCCGGCUUAACCGAGGAAUUGCAUCGGAAACUGUGUUUCUUGAGUGCAGAAGAGGAGAGUGGAACUCCAUGUGUAGCGGUGGAAUGCGUAGAUAUAUGGAAGAACACCAGUGGCGAAGGCGGCUCUCUGGUCUGUAACUGACGCUGAGGCUCGAAAGCGUGGGGAGCAAACAGGG
rnacentral:rRNA from 1 species